GAUGAACGCUGGCGGCGUGCCUAAUACAUGCAAGUCGAGCGAACAGACCAGGAGCUUGCUCCUCUGACGUUAUCGGCGGACGGGUGAUUAACACAUGGUUAACCUACCUAUAAGACUGGGAUAACGUCGGGAAACCGUAUCUAAUACCGGAUAAUAUAUUGAACCGCAUUGUUCAAUAGUUGAAUACGGUUUUUCUUUGACUUAUAGAUUGAUCCGCGCCGCAUUAGCUAGUUGGUAAGGUAACUGCUUACCAAGGCAAGGAUGCGUAGCCGCCCUGAGAGGGAGAUCGCACACACUGGAACUGAGAAACGGCACAGACUCCUAGGGGAGGACACAGUCGGGAAUCUUACGCAAUGGGCGAGAGGCUGACGGAGCAACGCCGCGUGAGUGCUGAAGGUGUUAGGCUCGUAAAACGAUGUAAUUCGGGAAGAACAAAUGCGUAAGUAACUAUGAACGUAUUGACGGUACCUAAUGAGAAAGCUCCGGCUAACUCCGUG
rnacentral:rRNA from 1 species